CAAGGACCAGCCCAUCAAACCACGCAUCCAGUAUCAGAUGGAAGCAUUCACUUCUAAGGAGGAUGUCUGCAUUUCCUGCUCACCUUGUCUAAACAGAGGAGACUCCUGGCAGAAGCUGAGCAUUUUGUGCAUUUGAAAAUUGUCUGAUUGGAAAGGUUUUAAUCUCACACCUCCACAGC
rnacentral:lncRNA from 12 species